rnacentral:rRNA from 1 species
ACAACCAGGAUGUUGGCUUAGAAGCAGCCACUCAUUAAAAGAGUGCGUAAUAGCUCACUGGUCGAGUGGUUCUGCGCGGAAAAUGUAACGGGGCUAAGCGUAUAACCGAAGCUUGGGAUGCAGCAAUGCAUGGUAGGGGAGCGUCGAAUAAGGGGUGAAGUCGCAGCGGAAGCAGCGGUGGACUUUAUUCGAGUGAGAAUGCCGGAAUGAGUAGCGAGAAUUAUGUGGGAAUCAUAAUGGCCGAAAAUCUAAGGUUUCUUGGGGAAGGUUCGUCCGCCCAAGGUAAGCCGGGAGCUAAGGCGAGGCCGAAAGGCGUAGUCGAUGCACAUACGGUUGAAAUUCCGUAGCCACCGAACCUUAAGCACACUGACACAUGGAGAUAGCGGGACCCGGGCGUUGGUUGACCCGGGCGUAAGGGACCGAAAUCAAGUAGGGAAGUCCGCGAUGCUCUGUGGCGAGAAAAGGUGUGUGGUAUGCUAAGGUGCCCGUACCGCAAACCGACACAGGUAGAUGAGGAGAGAAUCCUAAGGCCAACGGGAGAAGGGUUGUUAAGGAACUCGGCAAAAUGACCCCGUAACUUCGGGAUAAGGGGAGCCCCCUACGGGGGGCCGCAGAGAAUAGGCCCAAGCGACUGUUUACCAAAAACACAGGUCUAUGCUAAAUCGAAAGAUGACGUAUAUGGGCUGACGCCUGCCCGGUGCUGGAAGGUUAAGAGGAGAGCUUAGCGCAAGCGAAGGUUUGAAUUGAAGCCCCAGUAAACGGCGGCCGUAACUAUAACGGUCCUAAGGUAGCGAAAUUCCUUGUCAGGUAAGUUCUGACCCGCACGAAUGGCGUAAUGAUCUGGGAGCUGUCUCAACUGCCCGCCCGGCGAAAUUGUAGUACCGGUGAAGAUGCCGGUUACCCGCGACUAGACGGAAAGACCCCAUGGAGCUUUACUGUAGCUUAAUAUUGGAUUUCGGCAUUUCAUGUACAGGAUAGGUGGGAGACUAGGAAACAUAGGCGUCAGCUUAUGCGGAGUCGUCCUUGGGAUACCACUCUUGGAGUGCUGAAAUUCUAACCUGCAGCCCUGAAUCGGGUUGGGGGACAUUGUUAGGUGGGCAGUUUGACUGGGGCGGUCGCCUCCAAAAAGGUAACGGAGGCGCUCAAAGGUUGGCUCAGCAUGGAUGGAAACCAUGCCAUAGAGUGCAAACGCAAAAGCCAGCCUGACUGCGAGACUGACGGGUCGAGCAGAAACGAAAGUUGGAGUUAGUGAUCCGGCGGUAUGUGAAUGGAAAUGCCGUCGCUCAACGGAUAAAAGCUACCCUGGGGAUAACAGGCUGAUCUCCCCCAA